UCAAUGUACUCGUUGGUUUCU
ensembl:piRNA 21ur-1874 ncRNA